UUGUGCGGAAACAGUUAUCUGAACCUUCGGGGAACGAUAACGGCGCUCAGCGGCGUACGGGUGAGUAAUGCCUAGGAAAUUGCCCUGAUGUGGGGGAUAACCAUUGGAAACGAUGGCUAAUACCGCAUAAUGCCUACGGGCCAAAGAGGGGGACCUUCGGGCCUCUCGCGUCAGGAUAUGCCUAGGUGGGAUUAGCUAGUUGGUGAGGUAAUGGCUCACCAAGGCGACGAUCCCUAGCUGGUCUGAGAGGAUGAUCAGUCUCACUGGAACUGAGACACGGUCCAGACUCCUACGGGAGGCAGCAGUGGGGAAUAUUGCACAAUGGGCGCAAGCCUGAUGCAUCCAUGCCGCGUGUGUGAAGAAUGCCUUCGGGUUGUAAAGCACUUUCACUCGUGAGGAAGGUGGUGUUGUCAAUAGCUGCAUUAUUUGACGUUAGCGACAGAUUAAGCACCGGCUAACUCCGUGCCAGCAGCCGCGGUAAUACUGAUGGUGUGAGCGUUAAUUCGAAUUACUGGGCGUUAAGCGCAUGCGGGUGGUGUGUUAGCUCCGAUGUUAAAACCCGGGCUAGCCUCGGAAUAUAUUUGGAACUGGCGGACUAGAGUUCUGUAGACGGGGG
rnacentral:rRNA from 1 species